AUUGAACGCUGGCGGCAUGCCUUACACAUGCAAGUCGAACGGUAACAGGUCUUCGGAUGCUGACGAGUGGCGAACGGGUGAGUAAUACAUCGGAACGUGCCCGAUCGUGGGGGAUAACGAAGCGAAAGCUUUGCUAAUACCGCGUACGAUCUACGGAUGAAAGCAGGGGACCGCAAGGCCUUGCGCGAACGGAGCGGCCGAUGGCAGAUUAGGUAGUUGGUGGGAUAAAAGCUUACCAAGCCGACGAUCCGUAGCUGGUCUGAGAGGACGACCAGCCACACUGGGACUGAGACACGGCCCAGACUCCUACGGGAGGCAGCAGUGGGGAAUUUUGGACAAUGGGCGAAAGCCUGAUCCAGCCAUGCCGCGUGCAGGAUGAAGGCCUUCGGGUUGUAAACUGCUUUUGUACGGAACGAAAAGACUCUGGUUAAUACCUGGGGUCCAUGACGGUACCGUAAGAAUAAGCACCGGCUAACUACGUGCCAGCCGCCGCGGUAACAC
rnacentral:rRNA from 1 species